GUUGUGUUCCUCUCCAGCGUGGGUUUAAAAAGAAGUCUAGUUAGUAUAAUGAAUGUCGUCGUCGAGUAUGAUCAGUUUAACCGAUGAUGUUGGCGCCGGUCGGUCGGGCGGAUCUAUGAUGGAAAUAGUGGAUUCGGUUGUUGGUCGAUGGUCUGGUCUGGUAUGGUAUGGUAUGGUAUGAUGUAGUUAUAGGCAGCAGCAAUGAGCAACUUGUUUGUAGCUAGUCUUUUUCUUGGUUGCAGACAGACAGACAGACUUUGACAGUUUUGUUUUCCUUUCUCUUCUUGUGUUUGCAUCCCCUUUGCUUCUUUCUUUUCCUUCUUACUAUCAAA
rnacentral:lncRNA from 1 species